GUGGGAUCCUAGCAAAACACACCUCUCCAGAGACAGAGCGUGCGGUUCCCCGGCUUUCUAAAGCAGGUAGCAAAAGUAGCAAGUAAGAAGAACGGCCUGAGUACGCUUCCGCAACGAUCUAGAAGAUGCAGCACCUAGACUGCUGCAAAGUCUACAGGAGAAAGGAUGGACUGUGAACAGCACGAAGGUGACACAACUGCAUGUGUGAACGGGAAGACUGAAUGACUACUGGAAGAUUCACCUUCAACCUUGCUCAUGAGACUUGAGCCUAUUACCCUCCGGAGUCCCAGAUGACUGAGUACAAAAUGAAAAAAUAAAUGCUCAUCAGAUAAAGUCUGACUCAUUGUGAUUUUGGAAGAAGAAACCACAGGAUGAACACUUGUUUGAUGGGAAGUGUUGAGUAUUUCUGAAGGAUCGGACAAGGCUACCGGACUGAGAAGUUUGGAAGAAAGAAAUGUAAGAGGCUAGAGAGAAGGCAUCAGAAGAGUGAAGGGGAUGUUCUCCUUAUAAGGCUUAAGUCUGGAAAAUCACUCCUCUGGGUAGUUUGUCAGGCCCUUACAGAAAGGUUAUUGGAGACCUAUGUGGUUGUGGCUGACACGGAAGUUUAGCUUAAUAGGGUAAACUUAAUGAGCCCCAUUUGUUUGGAGGCUUUAUCAGAGAAAGGGUCUGUUUCUGUUUGCAGGAGCAAGUCUGGGCAGCACCAAGUCAACCAAGCUCUUGGACACUCAGACACUCUUUGGGCCAGCAUAUUAUGGAGGUAUCCAGUAAGCACAGGACAGUGUCAUUCUAGGGCCUGUGUUCAUCAGUCCCUGACUUUGGUAGCACUGGGCGGGCCUGCUUCCUCCACAGGCUGAGAGGAACCUCCGUACACCUGGAGUCCACCAAGAACAGACGGCCUGGCUACAAGUUCAGGAUGACCACCUCUCAGAAUCUGAAAUAAAAUCUUGCCCUGUGCUUGCCAGAAGGGUUCAGUUCCAUGAAAUCAUUCAAUGCAUAAAAAUAGACCGGGAGUGGGAAAAUAGCUCGGCAAAGGUAUAAAAGGUGUGGUUAAAGACUGGAGUGCCAUUUUAAUGUGGUUGGGCUGUACCUGACUGGUAGUUUUAAAAAAUUAUUCUGUGCCAGACUGAUUGAAGGAGGGUUUUAUUGAUUAUGCUUAUUUUUUAAUAGGAGAGACUUGAACUUUAUAGGCUAAGGGUAAAAACACAGUGAGGUUCAGUGUGGAAAGCCAAGGCAUAACUGAUGGAGGAAACUGACCAUGAUAUGUUUUAUUUAGUUUAUAGCAUCUUUUCAGAAAAUGGCAGCUUAGAGAUUCUUUUAAGUUUCUAAGUUAAGACACAGCUUUUCCAUAGUUC